rnacentral:piRNA from 1 species
UGGGCCAUUUACCCGAGGACCAAUCCCA